rnacentral:tRNA from 1 species
GGAGAGAUGGUUUUGUAGUUAAAACACCUGGCUGGGAGCCAGGAGACCUGGGUUCAUUACCUGGCUAUGCCA